rnacentral:tRNA from 1 species
UAGUUCAGUGGUACAAUGUCUGCCUGGGAAGCACAAGGUCCUGAGUUCGAUUCCCAG